AUUAAAUCAGUUAUCGUUUAUUUGAUAGUACCUUACUACUUGGAUAACCGUGGUAAUUCUAGAGCUAAUACAUGCUGAAAACCCCCACUUCGGGAGGGGUGUAUUUAUUAAAUAAAAAACCAACGCCCUUCGGGGCUUCUUGGUGAUUCAUGAUAACUUCACGGAUCGCAUGGCCUUGCGCCGGCGACGGUUCAUUCAAAUUUCUGCCCUAUCAACUUUCGAUGGUAAGGUAUUGGCUUACCAUGGUUUCAACGGGUAACGGGGAAUUARGGUUCGAUUCCGGAGAGGGAGCCUGASAAACGGCUACCACAUCCAAGGAAGGCAGCAGGCGCGCAAAUUACCCAAUCCCGACACGGGGAGGUAGUGACAAUAAAUACUGAUACAGGGCUCUUUUGGGUCUUGUAAUUGGAAUGAGUACAAUUUAAACCUCUUAACGAGGAACAAUUGGAGGGCAAGUCUGGUGCCAGCAGCCGCGGUAAUUCCAGCUCCAAUAGCGUAUAUUAAAGUUGUUGCAGUUAAAAAGCUCGUAGUUGAAACUUGGGCCUGGCUGGCAGGUCCGCCUCACCGCGUGUACUUGUCCGGCCGGGCCUUUCCUUCUGGAGAACCUCAUGCCCUUCACUGGGUGUGUUGGGGAACCAGGACUUUUACUUUGAAAAAAUUAGAGUGUUCAAAGCAGGCCUUUGCUCGAAUACGUUAGCAUGGAAUAAUAGAAUAGGACGUGCGGUCCUAUUUUGUUGGUUUCUAGGACCGCCGUAAUGAUUAAUAGGGACAGUCGGGGGCAUCAGUAUUCAAUUGUCAGAGGUGAAAUUCUUGGAUUUAUUGAAGACUAACUACUGCGAAAGCAUUUGCCAAGGAUGUUUUCAUUAAUCAGUGAACGAAAGUUAGGGGAUCGAAGACGAUCAGAUACCGUCGUAGUCUUAACCGUAAACUAUGCCGACUAGGGAUCGGGCGAUGUUCUUUUUCUGACUCGCUC
rnacentral:rRNA from 1 species